rnacentral:rRNA from 1 species
GACGAACGCUGGCGGCGUGCUUAACACAUGCAAGUCGAACGGAAAGGCCCUGCUUUUGUGGGGUUCUCGAGUGGCGAACGGGUGAGUAACACGUGAGUAACCUGCCCUUGACUUUGGGAUAACUUCAGGAAACUGGGGCUAAUACCGGAUAUGAGCUCCUGCUGCAUGGUGGGGGUUGGAAAGUUUCGGCGGUUGGGGAUGGACUCGCGGCUUAUCAGCUUGUUGGUGGGGUAGUGGCUUACCAAGGCUUUGACGGGUAGCCGGCCUGAGAGGGCGACCGGCCACAUUGGGACUGAGAUACGGCCCAGACUCCUACGGGAGGCAGCAGUGGGGAAUAUUGCACAAUGGGCGGAAGCCUGAUGCAGCAACGCCGGGUGCGGGAUGACGGCCUUCGGGUUGUAAACCGCUUUCGCCUGUGACGAAGCGUGAGUGACGGUAAUGGGUAAAGAAGCACCGGCUAAAUACGUG